rnacentral:rRNA from 1 species
UACGUAGGGGGCUAGCGUUGUCCGGAAUCAUUGGGCGUAAAGAGCGUGUAGGCGGUUCGGUAAGUCUGCUGUGAAAGUCCAGGGCUCAACCCUGGAAUGCCAGUGGAAACUGCCGAGCUAGAGUCCGGAAGAGGCGAGUGGAAUUCCUGGUGUAGCGGUGAAAUGCGCAGAUAUCAGGAGGAACACCAAUGGCGAAAGCAGCUCGCUGGGACGGUACUGACGCUGAGACGCGAAAGCGUGGGGGAUCAAACAGG